AUUUUCAAUGUCUAAUUAAAACAUUGUCCGUAUUGAAAGAAUGCAAGGCAUAGAAAAGAUUAUCACUGUAUAAUACAAAUUUCAUGAUGGUGUGAGACUCUUGAUAAGUAUAUGGCUCUUUACUAAAUACAAUUUAAAUGAAAAUGUAUUGCAGAUUUUGUCUCCUUAUAUCACUGUCUCUACGUAUUGGAAUAAUGGGGGUACACGUGUGAAAGAUUAUCACUGUACAAUAUAAAUUUUUAUGACUGGUGGAUGCCUCUUCAUAAAGAAAUAGCUAUUUUCAAGACUUGUCAUGUAGAGGUACAAGAUCCCAACAAUGAAUGUAACUGUACUGUUUCCCUAAAAUGUACCAAUAAACUCAAUUAAAGCUGCAAAAAGAAAAAAGAAAUAGCUAUUUGCUGAAUUCUGUUCAAUCUCUGUGACUAUUCUAUGAAAGAGAAUUCGUAAGAGCUUUCCUGAAGUCAAAAGAAAAACUCACUUACGCAGCACAUUCAUAGAUACCAGGGAGAGGCCACUUACUGUGGAAAGAGGCUUGUACAUUAAGGAAUGAUUCCAUGACACCAAACUGAGCUCUCCCAAUGGAGUAUGUACACUUUCAAUUACAGCUGUCACUCCAGGGAAGACUUUAUUCAGCCUGGAGUCCACCAGCUUCACCUAAAGUCAGUCUCUGAUGAACACGCAAGGCGUGGUGCCUAGGUCGGAGUGUGGAGUAGGACUUCCAGGGAACCUAGGACUUGUGUCCCCAUGAGAACCGAGCUUCCCAGAGCCUGGAUCUAUUCUUCAUGGAGCCCACAAUCCUGAGUAUUUUAUUUUCCUUCCUAGGCAUGCAACCCGGAUGUUUGGUCAUCAAUGCCAGGAGACAAUGAGAUGAUGUGAUGAUGGAGAGGAAGCACUGGAGGUGCAAUGUUGGGUGAAGAAGAACAAUACUGGGAGACUUGGUCCUCUGAAACGGAUUUUGGAAGAGAGAAGCUGACUGAUGUAGGUUCUACAUCAAGACAGUGCCAGCGUCAAGAUUUCUCUUGGAGUCUUUGGUGAAGGUCACGAGCCCCAGUCUGGAGUCCAAGCCUCAUACAGAUUUUCUUCAAAGAAUAACCAUUACCAUCUUGGUGGAAGACAGAGUUAAGAAUGUCUCAAGAGGGCCCUUCCCUGGGAGUCCCUGGAUCAUCGGAGCCCAGGAGAGGUCACACCCGAACAAGACGUUGAAGGACUGCAGGUCUCUGUGGAUCACUAGCCGAGCAUUACCUGCUUACUUACCUUGUACAGAUACUGAGACACAGGCAGUGAAGUAG
rnacentral:lncRNA from 1 species